UUGGCAAAUUUUUGCUAAAACAUAUAUCUGUCCUUUUUAUUCACAAGAAAAACUAUCAGCAGUUAAACAAUAGUUUAAGCAGCAGCAGUAGCAAACAGAAUUACUAGUUAUAAUAGCAACUAGUAAAACACACAAAUGCACAAGGAUACUUCUUCUCCCCCUAAGUCUGUUCAAUACAGACAUCUCUUUUAAUAAUAACAGCACCC
rnacentral:lncRNA from 1 species